GACGAACGCUGGCGGCGUGCUUAACACAUGCAAGUCGAGCGGUAAGGCCCUUUCGGGGGUACACGAGCGGCGAACGGGUGAGUAACACGUGGGUGAUCUGCCCUUAGCUCUGGGAUAAGCCUGGGAAACUGGGUCUAAUACCGGAUAUGACUCCAUGACGCAUGUUGUGGGGUGGAAAGCCUUGUGCGGCUAGGGAUGGGCCUGCGGCCUAUCAGCUUGUUGGUGGGGUGAUGGCCUACCAAGGCGACGACGGGUAGCCGGCCUGAGAGGGCGACCGGCCACACUGGGACUGAGACACGGCCCAGACUCCUACGGGAGGCAGCAGUGGGGAAUCUUGCGCAAUGGGCGAAAGCCUGACGCAGCGACGCCGCGUGGGGAUGACGGCCU
rnacentral:rRNA from 1 species